CAGACGUCCCGCGGGAGCCGGGUGGACCCGGCUGAGAGGGGGGCCGCAGCCCCCGACCGCACGAACCUGAUCCGGGUCAUGCCGGCGAAGGGAGCGGAGGCAGCACCGUG
rnacentral:ncRNA from 2 species